CCCACAAAUCGAGCUCUAGAUCCCCAGCUUAGAAACAAUCCCAAUCCUCAAAAGUAAACAAAGUCUACGAAAUUCCAAAUUCAUACAUCAACUACAGAUACGGAAUUCCAGUUCCAGACUUUCAAUUCAAACAACAAUAAUUAAAAUAACCAGAAGCCUAAAAUUGUGAAAGCACACUUUUUAUUAACAACAACAAAAAAAAAAAAAAAAAACCUAUAUAGAGCUCUGGAUCUUUUUGCAUUAAUUUUUACCAUUUUAGAGUUCCAUUAAUCCACUGAACCUAAAGUGAUUUGACAAAGAAACUAGACAUUAACAGGACAACGAAUUUUGCAGCUCUAUUGUUUAUAAAGUUCCCACAAAAAAAAAAAAAAAAAAAACUGAAAACUCAUCACCAGGAACUACAAAGAAAGCAAUUUACUGUGAAAACAAAAGAAAUAAAUAUUUAACAGGAAUUUCAGUGAUACCUUUGCGGAAGUCUUCGAUUUUUCCGGUAGUGAUUCGAAGAGACGAUUCACAAUAAAAAAUACGAAAUCUAAAUGUAUAUCGCUUUUUAAUCGGUUAUGAAUCCCGAGCCGCAUUGAAUAACCCAAUAAUUCCAUCUAUCAUCCACCAAUCCGAACCAGUCUCUUGGCCAUCGGAGAAGAUUGAGAGUCGGGGCGAAACGAUGAACACUUACAGUAAUUUUCUCGAAGAAUUUUCUCGAAACGAUGAAGAUUGAGAGUGGGGGCAAACAAUGAGCCAGUCUCUUGGCCACCAGUAAUUU
rnacentral:lncRNA from 1 species